rnacentral:lncRNA from 1 species
UUGUUGUAUAACAAAUUGCUGUUUACAAAUAAAGCUGUGCUUGUGGUUUUGUUUGUAGUAAUACCAUGAUGUGACGGCUUUCUUGAUUUGUACUUCCAGAAUGCAACUUUAGAAAGGUAGGUUGAGUUUAAGUCUCAACUAACUAUGCGAUGUUUCAGGUUUGUAGCAUCUUCUAGAGUGUGUUCAGAGCCCUGAUCAGUUUUCCAGAUCUUAAAGAUGAAAGGGAAUGGCAGCACUGGAGAUGAAAAGCAUUUAUUUAGAUUACCUCAAAAAAAUUUACCUCUCAUUUAGCAAAACUGGUGCUGUUUCAAUUUGACUGUUCUUGGAUAAAAACAAUGGAAAACAUAAAAAAAAAAAAACCCUCAUAGAAAAGAUCUUGGGAAUGCCAUUUGUUGGAAAUCGGAGUAAUUUGACCCAUUUACUGUUUUACAUUUUUGUAAGAAAACAAAAUAUAUGCGUAACUGUAUGGCAAAAGAUGGAGGGCAGUAAAUAGAAGAAUAACUACUCUCCCUUCUUUCCCCCAACACACCACAUAGUCUGGUUUUUCUCUGCAGUGGUGCUCCUCAGGCCUGGUUCCAAACUCUGGCUUCUUUUUAUUUCUCCUUGCCCGUCCCUGCCUUUAACUCCGUGUCUAGCCCUAACACUCCCUCCUGGCUUUGGAAGUUAGCUAUUUGAAAGUCAUACACUUGGAGGAAAUGAAAUUGUAUGUAAUGAGUACCUUGCUUUGUUACUUCUUUUUCCCUUCCCUUUGUUCCCAUCUCCAAGUAUUUUCUAAUGAGGUAUUUCUUACCUUAACCCGAACUGAUUUUAAUAGUAGAAAUUCCAGAUAGCAUGGCAGGUUGAUGGGGAGUAAAUGCCUGGGAAGAGUUUUGGGGAUUUUCUCAAAAACUGUAGGUAGGGAAUUUGUGCUUUGUGUCUGUCAGGUUGCUUUUGGCUGUGGGGAAUGCAAAACAAAACAAAACAAGCUGUUUUUCUUUGUAUUGUCAGCUUAUAUACUGUUUGUGAAGACAAAAUACACACAGGGAAAUUCUGGAAGGAUAUCUAAGAUCAUAUAAGCAAGAAGCUGGUAGCUAAGCAAAAUAUUAAGUAAACAAAGAUUCAAGCCACCAGUGUUUCUAGCUGAAUGAGAUGGUAAUAUUGCUUUAAAAGAACAUCAAGCUAUGCUACAUCAGUAAUCAUGAUCAUGUUUGGAUUUUGAAGCAAAGUAUUAAAUAAUGCCAUUUCUUUGUGGUGUGUCAAGAGGAGCUCAUUGUGAAUUUAUUUUACUUAGAUUGGUUACCAUCUAUUCUAUAGUAUAGUAUAUUCUAUCUAUCUGGUUUUCCAUUUGAGUGCAGUAAGACCUCAUUAAUUCAGUGUCGUUAACUGAAACUAUGAUUAAGCAUUAGUGUUUGGUGGCUGAAGUCUCCAUCAGCAAUGGAUGUGAAGAAAGGGCCUGCUAAUCUAAUUAAUAAUAUAAACAACACGGUUUGGGCAUGGUUAAUAUACUUAACAGAUUCUUUUCGGGAUGUAGUGAGUAGCAUGUAAAUUAAUGCUAUUAAUUACAAAUUAGAUCUGUUCGUUAGUGUUUUCUUUCAGGAUUUCUACUAUAAAGUAAAUGUAACAAAACAUUAUUUUCAAAACAUUUUGUAAACUAACACAAAAGCCUUAGGCAACAAUUGAGACUGUGAUUUGGGUAACUUCCAGUGAUUCUAAAAUGCCAUCGAAUAGGAAAUUAACAUUUAGAAAAGAAUAUGUUUUUGGAAACUGGGGGAAAGAACCUGUACUUUAAAUGAGCAAGCUAUUUUAAGACAUCCAGUUAAAAUGUGAAAAAAGUAACAGCUUAGAAUCUAGUUAGUUUUACGUUUGUUUAUGUUAGUUUAAAAACAUGCAUUUUUAUGUCUACUUCAUUUUUUAAAUCUGUUCAUUUCCAUAAAUAUGACCUGUUUUAUUUAUAAUUUUAAAAAUAUGAAAUAUGACUUUGAUAUAAUGUACGUUUAUAAUUUUUAUAAUUGGUCUCUCAUGCUUUUCCUUAUCUUUUCUGUGUCAGCCAUGUGUAAAGUUGGAACUAAUUACGAAACCAAAUAAAGAGUCCAUUUAGAGUGACCUCAUUGGAAAACAGCAUUUUUCUAGACAUACUCUCCUUUUAGCAAAUCCAGUUAAUUUACUGUUUUGAAAGUUUUGUGAAAAUAUUGGACACUCCUGAACUAUAGGGAAUGAUGAUGAUUCACGAUCUGGAACUUUGGUAAAUACUAAAAAAUCAUUUUGUCAUUUUUUUUAGCAACUUUGUGGUGUAGCAUUCUCUUAAUAUUCAAGAGAGAUACAGUGAGAUUUUGAAUUCCAACUUUCUACAAUUCCACUGUAAUAUAUUGUAAGUCACAGGUUUUUUCCUCAUUUGUAAAAUUGUACUCACCCCUCACUUCUGGGAACCAGAGGAUCCUCAAAUGGAAUUUGAGGUCACACUGGGUCCACUUGCCUGGGAAUGGCAAUUCAGUCACUGCUGACACAGAAUUACAAAUGACAAUGUGUUAAUGUAUUUUCAGGGUCACUCAAGAAUAGUCAGAACAAUUAAUAUUGAAGUCUGUGAAUGCCUUGGGUCUACAACAGUAGCUUAUGGUGGCAUUUAUUUUAUAGUUGAAGAAAUGGAGACAGAAUAGAUAGAAUGGUCGGUCACAGGUGGGACUAGAAUGCAGGUAAGUGUAAGCAAAUUCUUUCCUUUAGCAAAGAUGUUCUUUUGUCUUGAAAACCUGUUUGACAGUGUCACUUCUUUUGGUAUAUUUAAGAUGUCACAUAGUAUUUCAAACUUUGCUUUACUGAAUUACUAGCUGUAUAAAAUAGUUUUAAUAGGAGAGGGAGCUUUUAUAUCUCUGUAUUUAGCAGAAAUAAACAUUCUGACGAUAGAUAUUAUAAUCUGGUUUGAUCUUGGCAUGAGGUUUACUAAAGGAAAAUUGUUAAACGUUAUUUUCUAUUCAGGUAAAUAUAUACACAGAAAUCGAAAUAGCAUAUUAUCCUACUAAAACAUUUAUUGACAUUUAUUUUGAAGGUUGUCAUCAUAAGCCUCUUUGUCUGAACUACAGAUAAUGGCCGAUACAGUUGGUCUGGUUUGAGGAUUUUACGAAUUUCUAGAGAAAGCUCAAGCAAAACCAACAACCAGUGCUUCGUAGGUGUUUCACUCCUUUUUAAAAAAUAGUCAUCAGGUGGGAAUGUCGGCACUGACACACGGUUUCAGUUUGUAAACUAAGUCUUUAGUAAUCUUGACAUUUUCAGCAUUAUUAACUCAUUUUACCGUAUUUUCAUCUUCUGUAUUCAUACAGGCUGUAUCAUGAUAAGCCAUCAAUUAUAUUUCAUAUAAGAAGUCAAAUAAAACACUUCAUAUUUCUCUUUGGUUAGGUGUUCUGAAUAAUGGCUUAAAUCAGAUGGACUGGCAAACUGAGGACCUGGGCCUAUGUCUGGGAUCUCAAAUCCAUUUCACAAAUGUACAUGCAGUAACUGAAACCCUGAUAUUAAAAACAAAAACAAACCCUGACUGAGAAAGCAGUAAUGAAUCAUUAAAAUAUCACAGUUUUAGAAUUCGAUCUAUUCUUUGUGAGACAUCACAGAAAUAGAAUGUUGUGUUCAUCUUUUUAUUUCCUUAAUCCAUGUCUUUGCCUCAUACCAAGUAUAUUCCUACUCUAUUUUAAAAGGAUGGUCUGUCUGACUUUCUAUGAACUUCUCUCUCUUGCAACUGGAAAUUCUGCAGAUGUCUGCAGAAAGCAAAACACAUAAGUAGAGACCAGAGAUUUAUGUUCCCAGCUGCCUCCAGAUGAUGACAGACCACCUUACAGGGUUUGUCAGUGUCAGGUACUUCCUACAGUUAGGCAGAAGAACGAUGGUUGAUGUUCAGAAAGAGAGUUUUAUUCAUACAGAGCUAAAUUUUAAAAGAUCCCAUUAGCUCUAAGUUUCUGAGAUGUAGAGUCUCUUCUUGUACUUUCCAUACGGCAACUGUAUGGACCCGCUUUAUUUUUUUAUUUUUUGGGGGGAGGAGCUGUUACUUCUGAUUUAAAAUGUUCAGUUGUCUCUGUGUAGUAGUGGAAUGUUUUGGAGAUUCUGGUAGGUCGGUAUCUAAACUAUGUCUCCCAGAUUGCUGCAUAUUCAUGGAAGGUACACAAUUUUUUUUUGUUAAUAUGUAUAUUCAGAGUUUUAGUUUGAAAACCAUGGUCAUCGAAUCAGUGGUGCCUAGCUCAAUGCCUUGCUUCUUAUGCCCUGAAUCAGUUCUUAUCCAAUGACUUUGAACAUUGCACAAUUCUCACUGCACCUCCUGAAGCAAUGAAUGGAGACAAAUUAUGUAUUUAUUUUGAGUACAAUUGUAUUAAGUUCUGUCUUUUUUAUAAAUGGUUCUAUAUGAUAACUGUAUGGUUUUGGAAUACUUCCUCUCCAGCCGCAUCAGACAAUAGAGUAUGAGAGGGAGGCAUUAAUAAGGUGAUAUAAUUAGAUUCAGGGAAGUUUUGUUGUUUGGUCAUUUGGACUGGCUUCACGCCAGCUGAGUUUAAAAGGCUAACUCCUUUUCAACUCACCAUAUUAGCUUGAACUUGAAAGCUUUUUUCGAUUUUUGUUGUAUUUCCCCUUAGACUGCUCAGUUUUUGACAGGUGAGAAAAGAUAUGUUAAUCACUCAGUGUUUGACAUAUUGGGUGAUUUAUAUUUUUUAAUUAUUGUUUAGAUUUGGACUUGAAGAGAGAAUGAUCGGGAAAAUUCCAUGAAACAAAACAAAACAAAACAAAACAAACCGAGACCAGAAAAACCCCUCUUCCUUUGUUUACAUCUCAAUUUAUCAUUUUCUGUAAUGCUUUUGUAAUUCAGAAAUGCAGCCUUCUUCAACAUAACCUCCUGCCCUCCUCCUGCCCUCCGCUGGCCCCCAA